rnacentral:rRNA from 1 species
CAAAAACAUAGCUGUGUGAUAUUACCCCUCAGUUUUUUCCUGCUCAAUGAGUCAUUAAAUAGCCGCGGUACCCUGACUGUGCAAAGGUAGCGUAAUCAUUUGUCUUCUAAUUAAAGUCUCGUAUGAAAGAAUAUAUGGGGGCCCGCUUUACCGAUGGUAGAAAAAGAAUUUAAUGAGUGAGUGCAAAUGCUCGCAAUACAUAAAAGACGAGAAGACCCUAGAAAUUUUUACCACCCUUUUUGUUGGGGCAACAUAGUAACAAGUAAUUUACUAUAUGUAUAUGAAAUAAGUUAGUUAGCGCAAAUUACUCUAGGGAUAACAGCAUAAUUUACAUAAAGUUUGUGACCUCGAUGUUGGAUUAGGAAGUUAUAAUUUAAAAGGUUGUUAAUUUUGGUCUGUUCGAGCA